UACGUAGGGUGCAAGCGUUAUCCGGAUUUAUUGGGCGUAAAGCGAACGCAGGCGGGAGAAUAAGUCAGCUGUGAAAGCCCCCAGCUUAACUGGGGAAGUGCAACUGAAACUAUUUUUCUUGAGUGCAGAAGAGGAGAGUGGAACUCCAUGUGUAGCGGUGGAAUGCGUAGAUAUAUGGAAGAACACCAGUGGCGAAGGCGGCUCUCUGGUCUGUAACUGACGCUGAGGUUCGAAAGCAUGGGUAGCGAACAGG
rnacentral:rRNA from 1 species